UUUUUAUGAGAGUUUGAUCCUGGCUCAGGACGAACGCUGGCGGCGUGCCUAAUACAUGCAAGUCGAACGCUUCUUUUUCCACCGGAGCUUGCUCCACCGGAAAAAGAGGAGUGGCGAACGGGUGAGUAACACGUGGGUAACCUGCCCAUCAGAAGGGGAUAACACUUGGAAACAGGUGCUAAUACCGUAUAACAAUCAAAACCGCAUGGUUUUGAUUUGAAAGGCGCUUUCGGGUGUCGCUGAUGGAUGGACCCGCGGUGCAUUAGCUAGUUGGUGAGGUAACGGCUCACCAAGGCCACGAUGCAUAGCCGACCUGAGAGGGUGAUCGGCCACAUUGGGACUGAGACACGGCCCAAACUCCUACGGGAGGCAGCAGUAGGGAAUCUUCGGCAAUGGACGAAAGUCUGACCGAGCAACGCCGCGUGAGUGAAGAAGGUUUUCGGAUCGUAAAACUCUGUUGUUAGAGAAGAACAAGGAUGAGAGUAACUGUUCAUCCCUUGACGGUAUCUAACCAGAAAGCCACGGCUAACUACGUGCCAGCAGCCGCGGUAAUACGUAGGUGGCAAGCGUUGUCCGGAUUUAUUGGGCGUAAAGCGAGCGCAGGCGGUUUCUUAAGUCUGAUGUGAAAGCCCCCGGCUCAACCGGGGAGGGUCAUUGGAAACUGGGAGACUUGAGUGCAGAAGAGGAGAGUGGAAUUCCAUGUGUAGCGGUGAAAUGCGUAGAUAUAUGGAGGAACACCAGUGGCGAAGGCGGCUCUCUGGUCUGUAACUGACGCUGAGGCUCGAAAGCGUGGGGAGCAAACAGGAUUAGAUACCCUGGUAGUCCACGCCG
rnacentral:rRNA from 1 species